rnacentral:piRNA from 1 species
UGUGUAGUCCCCAAUGGCUUCAUCACAAC